rnacentral:misc_RNA from 1 species
UUGAAUAAACUUGGCUUGCUGAUGCUGGUCUCUCUGGAGGCAUGUGCUCGCUGGUCAUCUUUACUUCUCCACCUGUGCACCCACUGUAGAACUGGGAUUUGGGACUGCUGUGCUUAUUUGCUGGCUUUCCUUGCUUCCCCCCCAGUCCUACGUUUUUUUUCACAUACACCUAUGAAAUGUAACAGAAUGUAUCACUAGGUUUUUGAACCUAUAAAACAAAUAUA